UACGGAGGGAGCUAGCGUUGUUCGGAAAUACUGGGCGUAAAGCGCACGUAGGCGGCGCAGCAAGUCAGGGGUGAAAUCCCGGGGCUCAACCCCGGAACUGCCUCUGAAACUGCAGUGCUAGAAUCUUGGGGAGGCGAGUGGAAUUCCGAGUGUAGAGGUGAAAUUCGUAGAUAUUCGGAAGAACACCAGUGGCGAAGGCGACUCGCUGGACAAGUAUUGACGCUGAGGUGCGAAAGCGUGGGGAGCAAACAGG
rnacentral:rRNA from 1 species